rnacentral:rRNA from 1 species
AUUGAACGCUGGCGGCAUGCCUUACACAUGCAAGUCGAACGGCAGCACGGGAGCAAUCCUGGUGGCGAGUGGCGAACGGGUGAGUAAUACAUCGGAACGUGCCCAAUCGUGGGGGAUAACGCAGCGAAAGCUGUGCUAAUACCGCAUACGAUCUACGGAUGAAAGCAGGGGAUCGCAAGACCUUGCGCGAAUGGAGCGGCCGAUGGCAGAUUAGGUAGUUGGUGAGGUAAAGGCUCACCAAGCCGUCGAUCUGUAGCUGGUCUGAGAGGACGACCAGCCACACUGGGACUGAGACACGGCCCAGACUCCUACGGGAGGCAGCAGUGGGGAAUUUUGGACAAUGGGCGAAAAGCCUGAUCCAGCCAUGCCGCGUGCAGGAUGAAGGCCUUCGGGUUGUAAACUGCUUUUGUACGGAACGAUACGGUCUUUUCUAAUA